UACGUAGGGUGCGAGCGUUAAUCGGAAUUACUGGGCGUAAAGCGUGCGCAGGCGGUUCGUUGUGUCCGAUGUGAAAGCCCCGAGCUCAACUUGGGAACGGCAUUGGAAACUGGCGGGCUGGAGUGUGGCAGAGGGGGGUGGAAUUCCACGUGUAGCAGUGAAAUGCGUAGAGAUGUGGAGGAACACCGAUGGCGAAGGCAGCCCCCUGGGCCAACACUGACGCUCAGGCACGAAAGCGUGGGGAGCAAAC
rnacentral:rRNA from 1 species